rnacentral:rRNA from 1 species
AUUGAACGCUGGCGGCAGGCCUAAUACAUGCAAGUCGAACGGUGUAGCAAUACACAGUGGCGCACGGGUGCGUAACACGUAUGCAACCUACCUUACAUUGGGGGAUAGCCUUUCGAAAGGGAGAUUAAUACCGCAUAAGACAGUAACUAGGCAUCUAGUAGCUGUUAAAGAUUUAUCGAUGUAAGCUGGGCAUGCGUCCAAUUAGUUAGUUGGUGAGGUAACGGCUCACCAAGACGAUGAUUGGUAGGGGAACUGAGAGGUCAAUCCCCCACACUGGCACUGAGAUACGGGCCAGACUCCGACGGGAGGCAGCAGUAGGGAAUAUUGGGCAACGGGCGCAAGCCUGACCCAGCCAUGCCGCGUGCAGGAAGUAGGCGUUAUGCGUUGUAAACUGCUUUUAUACAGGAAGAAACGACCCUUGCGAGGGGCAUUGACGGUACUGUAUGAAUAAGCACCGGCUAACUCCGUGCCAGCCGCCGCGGUAACAC